rnacentral:rRNA from 1 species
UACGUAGGGAGCAAGCGUUGUCCGGAUUUACUGGGUGUAAAGGGUGCGUAGGCGGAUUGGCAAGUCAGAAGUGAAAUCCAUGGGCUUAACCCAUGAACUGCUUUUGAAACUGUUAGUCUUGAGUGAAGUAGAGGUAGGCGGAAUUCCCGGUGUAGCGGUGAAAUGCGUAGAGAUCGGGAGGAACACCAGUGGCGAAGGCGACCUACUGGGCUUUAACUGACGCUGAGGCACGAAAGUGUGGGUAGCAAACAGG